rnacentral:lncRNA from 1 species
GCAACCCCGACAACCAGAACACGCCGCGUGGCAGAGACACUGACGCGGGAGGCCACGCAGAAGGGAAUCACGUGGGCGAUCCGCGUGCGCGCGAUCGAACGGUUGAGAUCCGUUCCCGCGCGCACAAACAGCUCAGAUCAGAAACGCGCACGGACGGCCCAAAUUACAACGUGAUGAACGGCCCAUAUUCAUUUUCUAUUUAAUCGCGAUCGGACGACCCAAAUUAAAUCGUAAUAGACGGCUCAAAUUAAAAGCGGAUGGUUAUAAAUAAUCUCAUCCGCACCCAAACCCUAACUCUAGCCGCCAGAGCCCCUCACCGAAGAAGACAACCCAGCUGCCAGGGAGACGACCGCCACUACUCGCCGCAGCACCGGAGCAAUUUUUAGCCGCCAAACGAGGUAAAAUUUUUUUCCUUGGCU